GUCGCUUUAGCUCACUUGGGAGAGCGCCAGACUGAAGCCCAAACUUCAGGACCUUGUUAUCUGGAGGCACUGUGUUCGAUCCACAGAAGCGACA